UCAGAUGACACAUGAGAGGAUUCCCAGU
rnacentral:piRNA from 1 species